rnacentral:rRNA from 1 species
UACGUAGGUGGCAAGCGUUGUCCGGAUUUACUGGGCGUAAAGGGCGCGUAGGCGGUCAGCACAAGUCAGUUGUGAAAUCUCCGGGCUUAACUCGGAAAGGUCAACUGAUACUGUGCGACUAGAGUGCGGAAGGGGCAACUGGAAUUCUCGGUGUAGCGGUGAAAUGCGUAGAUAUCGGGAGGAACACCAGUGGCGAAGGCGACUACCUGGCCUGUUCUUGACGCUGAGGCGCGAAAGCUAGGGGAGCAAACGGG